rnacentral:rRNA from 1 species
AGUGAACGCUGGCGGUAGGCCUAACACAUGCCAGUCGAACGGCAGCACAGUAAGAGCUUGCUCUUACGGGUGGCGAGUGGCGGACGGGUGAGGAAUACAUCGGAAUCUACUUUUUCGUGGGGGAUAACGUAGGGACACUUACGCUAAUACCGCAUACGACCUACGGGUGAAAGCAGGGGAUCUUCGGACCUUGCGCGAUUGAAUGAGCCGAUGCCGGAUUAGCUAGUUGGCGGGGUAAAGGCCCACCAAGGCGACGAUCCGUAGCUGGUCUGAGAGGAUGAUCAGCCACACUGGAACUGAGACACGGUCCAGACUCCUACGGGAGGCAGCAGUGGGGAAUAUUGGACAAUGGGCGCAAGCCUGAUCCAGCCAUACCGCGUGGGUGAAGAAGGCCUUCGGGUUGUAAAGCCCUUUUGUUGGGAAAGAAAAGCAGCAGGUUAAUACCCCGCUGUUCUGACGGUACCCAAAGAAUAAGCACCGGCUAACUUCGUG